rnacentral:lncRNA from 1 species
UUUUUUAAAAGGAGAAUAUGCCCACUGAACAAAGAGGAACGAGAGCUCUUCUCAGGACGAUUCGAUUAGGGCUCUUAUUUCGCCGCUCAAUUUUCCCUCUCGCCGGUCGCCGGGCAGUCUCCAUCUCUCACCUCCGUCUCUCGCGCUCGACCCUGUUCUCUGCACACGAAAACCAGGUAAAAUUUCGUGGUUUAGUUUGGUUUAUCUUCCGUUCUGGCGAGGCUGAUUGUGGUUGGUGUUGUGGAUCUGGGAUACGAGUAUGAAUUUGAGGUUGUGCGGGUUGAUCGCAAGCAAAAAGAGGGAAGGUGUAUUUCGUGUAUAAUUGGUUCCGUGCUUUCCUUAUUGGAAUUGGUAAGCUGUGAUCUGCGCAUUUUGCAAGUCUUAUUGGUAGUCUGGAGAUUAGGGCUGCGUUUUUGUUAUGUUGUGUUUGAAUUUAACUUACUCGUUGUGAUGUUGUGUUUGAAUUUUAGUGUGCAGAAGCAUGAUGAAUUACAAGAGACAAAUAAAUGAAAAAUAAAAAAACGGCCAGUCCCGGUCCAACCCAGGAACUGAUCACCCCAGAUUUUCUUUGUUUUUGUAAUUUGUGUUCCUGUGGUGUUUAAUGGCAUUUGCUGAGGAAUGACUGAAACUCGAUAGUGCGAGUAUUGACGUCUGGAAAUUUAUGUUCAUGGAGUCCUCUAUUAUCAUUUUUCUCA